rnacentral:rRNA from 1 species
GAUCAUGGCUCAGGAUGAACGCUGGCGGCAGGCUUAAUACAUGCAAGUCGAACGGUAAGGUCCGAAGUGGCAACACGGAGGAUACACGAGUGGCGCACGGGUGCGUAACGCGUAUGCAACCUGCCCCCGACCGGGACAAAACAGCUGGAAACGGCUGCUAAUAUCCCAUGGUCAUGCGGAAGGGCAUCCUUCUUCAUGUAAAGAUUCAUUGGUCGGGGAUGGGCAUGCGUAUUAUUAGGUAGUUGGCGGGGUAACGGCCCACCAAGCCGACGAUGAUUAGGGGUCCUGAGAGGGUUAACCCCCACACUGGAACUGAGACACGGUCCAGACUCCUACGGGAGGCAGCAGUAGGGAAUAUUGGGCAAUGGGAGCAAUCCUGACCCAGCCAUGCCGCGUGAAGGAAGACGGCCCUAUGGGUUGUAAACUUCUUUUGCCGCAGAGUAAACCCGGUCACGAGUGGUCGGUUGAGAGUAUGCGGCGAAUAAGUAUCGGCUAACUCCGUGCCAGCCGCAGC